GGCUGGGAGCUAUGCAACUUUAGAGCCGACUAACUCCGCCAGGACUGGAAGGUAGCAACGGUUGUCAGGUUUGUUGUGUGCUGUAGACUUCCUGGCCUCU
rnacentral:SRP_RNA from 1 species